UCCUCGGCAGUAUAGUGGUCCGAGUAUCCCCGCCUGUCACGCGGGAGACCGGGGUUGGAUUCCCGCCGGGGAG